AAUAUUGGACAAUGGGGGCAACCCUGAUCCAGCCAUGCCGCGUGUGUGAAGAAGGUCUUCGGAUUGUAAAGCACUUUAAGUUAGGAGGAAGGGCUUUAGGCUAAUACCCUGAAGUUUUGACGUUACCAACAGAAUAAGCACCGGCUAACUCAGUGCCAGCAGCCGCGGUAAUACAGAGGGUGCAAGCGUGAAUCGGAAUUACUGGGCGUAAAGCGCGCAUGGGUUGUGCAGUAGGAAGGGUGUGAAAUCCCCGGGCUUAACCUGGGAACUGCUUUCAUAACUGCUGGGCUAGAGUACGGUAGAGGGUAGUGGAAUUUCCUGUGUAGCGGUGAAAUGCGUAGAUAUAGGAAGGAACACCAGUGGCGAAGGCGACUACCUGGACUGAUACUGACACUGAGGUGCGAAAGCGUGGGGAGCAAAC
rnacentral:rRNA from 1 species